GACCAUUUUUCUAGAAUGGGAUGAACAUGUGUUUCUAUUUGGUUGAGGGAAGAAGGAUGCCCCUGAUUUAUGUUUCGUAGGAGAGAUGGGAAAGAAUCGUAUGCAUGGAUUACAAUUUUUGGCCCGUUUACCACUGUUAAGUAGGCCCUAGCUGUUAGUCUCCUUCCUUUCGCCCAAUAUGAUCUUCUUCCUUUUUUGCUCGAUCUUUGCCCAUAUGAUGGGCUUGACCGUGCCACCCAGGUGGGCCCCCUGCCGAUCCACGGCGCCUAUCCAAUGUGGGGCUUGCCCGCGCCGCUC
rnacentral:lncRNA from 1 species